GACAUUUGAGGGAUGUUCCAAUGUUAUAAGGAUAGACAUUGGAAAUGUUAACCGAGUCAUAAUCAGGUUUAGGCCUGGUAUCCUAUUAUUAUUUACCAAAUGAAUUCAGAAUUAAUAUUGUAACAUAGACCUAAAAAAUCUAUAAAACAACUUUUAACAACGGAUCUCUUGGUUCUCGCAUCGAUGAAGAACGUAGCAAAGUGCGAUAACUAGUGUGAAUUGCAUAUUCAGUGAAUCAUCGAGUCUUUGAACGCAACUUGCGCUCAUUGGUAUUCCAAUGAGCACGCCUGUUUCAGUAUCAAAACAAACCCUCUAUCCAACUUUUGUUGUAUAGGAUUAUUGGGGGCCUCUCGAUCUGUAUAGAUCUUGAAAUCCCUGAAAUUUACUAAGGCCUGAACUUGUUUAAAUGCCUGAACUUUUUUUUAAUAUAAA
rnacentral:misc_RNA from 2 species